rnacentral:rRNA from 1 species
CCUGAACGCUGGCGGCGUGGCUAAGACAUGCAAGUCGAACGGGUGCAGCAAUGCACCAGUGGCGCACGGGUGAGUAAUGUAUCGCUAACGUGCCCCGGAGCCUGGGAUAGCUGGUCCGAAAGGGCGAGGUAAUACCGGAUGAGACCACGGAGAGGCAUCUCUCAGGUGCUCAAAGCCGCAAGGCACUCUGGGAGCGGGCGAUAUCGUAUCAGCUAGUUGGCGGGGUAACGGCCCACCAAGGCUGCGACGCGUAGCUGGUCUGAGAGGACGGCCAGCCACAUCGGGACUGAGACACUGCCCGGACUCCUACGGGGGCUGCAGUAACGAAUCUUCCGCAAUGCAACGAAAGUGCGAACGGAGCGACGCCCGCGGUGGAAGGGACGAAGUCCCUUCGGGGUA